AGUCACAUCCUACGGAAGGCAGCAGUAGGGAAUUUUCGUCAAUGGGCGCAAGCCUGAACGAGCAAUGCCGCGUGAACGAGGAAGGUCUUCGGAUCGUAAAGUUCUGUUGAGAGGGAAAAAGGGUCACCAGAGGAAAUGCUGGUGAAGUGAUAUUACCUUUCGAGGAAGUCACGGCUAACUACGUGCC
rnacentral:rRNA from 1 species